GUUUGACCUCAAAUCAGGUAGGAAUACCCGCUGAACUUAAGCAUAUCAAUAAGCGGAGGAAAAGAAACCAACCGGGAUUGCCUUAGUAACGGCGAGUGAAGCGGCAAAAGCUCAAAUUUGAAAUCUGGCGUCUUCGACGUCCGAGUUGUAAUUUGAAGAAGCAACUUUGUAGCUGGUCCUUGUCUAUGUUCCUUGGAACAGACGUCAUAGAGGGUGAGAAUCCCGUGUGGCGAGGAUCCCAGUUAUUUGUAAAGUGCUUUCGACGAGUCGAGUGUGUGG
rnacentral:rRNA from 1 species